UGGGGAAUCUUGGACAAUGGGCGCAAGCCUGAUCCAGCCAUGCCGCGUGAGUGACGAAGGUCUUCGGAUUGUAAAGCUCUUUUGGCGGGGACGAUAAUGACGGUACCCGCAGAAUAAGCCCCGGCUAACUUCGUGCCAGCAGCCGCGGUAAUACGAAGGGGGCUAGCGUUGUUCGGAAUUACUGGGCGUAAAGCGCACGUAGGCGGAUUUGUAAGUCAGGGGUGAAAUCCCGGGGCUCAACCUCGGAACUGCCCUUGAUACUGCAAGUCUCGAGUCCGAUAGAGGUGAGUGGAAUUCCUAGUGUAGAGGUGAAAUUCGUAGAUAUUAGGAAGAACACCAGUGGCGAAGGCGGCUCACUGGAUCGGUACUGACGCUGAGGUGCGAAAGCGUGGGGAGCAAACAGGAUUAGAUACCCACGUAGUCCCUGAGCGGGCUGGCAAGGCGCAU
rnacentral:rRNA from 1 species